UCUCCGUAGGUGAACCAGCGGAGGGAUCAUUACAGAGUUCAGGCCCUACCGGGUCUAUCGCCCACCCUAUGUUAUUAUUACUUUGUUAAUUUGGCGGACCGGUAGGCUCCGGCCCGGCUAACUACCCCGGCUCGGAAGCGCCCAUCAGUGUGCCCAAAACCCUGUAUGUAAGUAUCGGCUGAAUACGGCAUAAUAGUUAAAAGUUUCAACAACGGAUCUCUUGGUGCUGGCAUCGCUGAAGAACGCUGCAAAACGGAAAAGCACACGUCUUAACUCGAU
rnacentral:misc_RNA from 1 species